rnacentral:lncRNA from 1 species
GGCUAAGUAAACACAGCAGAGGUUCAAGCAGGCCCUCCAGCUAAUAAAUAGCAGCCAAGCCAAGGCCAGCUGCUGCUCUGCCCCUGGGCUUCACGACUGCCACCUUGCUAGAUUCCCAUGAGGCUCCAUGCUCAGGAAGCCAGGACAUACUCAAGACAGUGCAGGAUUUCCAUCAUUCAAAGCCACGAAACACUGAAAAGAGCAAGAGUCAUGUGACUUGUGUAUCAAAAUAAAGGCAGAGGUGGGAACAUGUGUGCAGAGGCUGCCAGGGCACUGGGAUACAAGAAACUGGUGACGCCAUCUCUAGGGAGGACAACUGAGCAGAAAAACGUCCAAGUUACCUGUGUGGGAAACCGAAACUCUCAAGGACACAGACUGAAGGAAUAAGGAAACAAGAUGGCCAUGGCCUCUCCACCUUCCUUAACCCCCCCCCCGGGGGGAAGGCAACAGAGAUUACCAUACUCUGUCCCACUCGGCCCUUGCACAAAGUUAUAUCCCCAUGAUCAACCAGGUCACCCCAGCAACGGCCAGGUAUCCCCAGCUCCAGAGGUGAGCAGCUGGCACAGCAGCGGAGACAUACAGAGGGCAAGCUUGGAGAAGGAUCAGGACAUGGGGAGAGAAGACAUCAAGUGACCAGAAAAAAAUGAGAGCUCCAAGAACGGACAACCAAAUCUGUACCCCAAGGAUGGGUCCUGUUUUUUGUUUUGUUUCUUACGCUCCAUAUCCAAACUCUUGGCAAGAAAGUACAUUCGGAGGGGCUGGAGAGAUGGCUCUGGUUAGGCACACAUACUGAUCUGGCAACAGACCCACGCCAUGGAUGCCGAACUGCAACUCCAGCUCAGGGGAUCCUUUGGUCUCUCAGGGGCCCACACUGAACAUUAAACAAAAGCACUCAGAAUCCAGCUGUGCUUACUAUCUCCUCGACAAACUCAAGCCCAAGCUGCAAGUCAGUUCCUUCCUGGACAGCUCCUCUUCGGAAUCCCCAGGUGACGGCUCUUCAGAAAUGUGACAGCAAGUACAUGGAUUUGCUUAACACUGUAUUUAUUACUGGGUUCCCAACAUUGCACAGGAAUUCGCAUGUAAGGCGCUGAGGGUCCCUGCCCCAGUUGGUUUUGAUUGGUAAAUAAAGGUGCUAAUGGCCGAUGAAUGGCUGGGCAGGGAGAAAGAGGCGGGGCUUCAGAAUUCUCUAGCAAGGGGAAGGAAGAUUGACAACCACCUUGGCGGGAAAGGUGAAAGAGCAGGCCUGAGAAGUGCAGGACAGACAGACAGCCAACAUGUAAGAGGUGGGAAAGAGAGGCCCCAGGGACCCCACUGGGUCUAGGGAAGCCAGGAUGGAAUAUAGAUUUUAAUAAGUUAAUUGAGUUGGGGAUAUCGGAGGGGAAAGUGUGUUAACCGCAUGGAGGUUUAGGAGUGGCCCAUUAAAACAAAAGGUUGCGUGCGUGCGUGCGUGCGUGCGUGUGUGUGUGUGUGUGUGUGUGUGUGUGUGUGUGUGUGCAUGCGCACUGCCACAGCCAGGUUGAUUUGAGCAGGAUUAAGUAGCAACCACAACACGCAGGCGCCCAUAAUCUGUCUUCCUGAUUAAAUACAAACAAGUGUUUCUGUUGCUUUUGUUCUCACUGGCGUUGCAGAGGGUGGGACAGUGCCAAGCAGUGCACAUGUGUGCAGCACUGUGUUUUUGUGAAAUAAAAC